rfam:Lingula anatina scaffold302, whole genome shotgun sequence.
GCUGUGAUGGCCGAGUGGUUAAGGCGUUGGACUCGAAAUCCAAUGGGAUAUUCCCGCGCAGGUUCGAACCCUGCUCGCAGCG